UACGGGGGGAGCAAGCGUUGUUCGGAUUUACUGGGCGUAAAGGGCGCGUAGGCGGCCAGCACAAGUCAGUUGUGAAAUCUCCGAGCUUAACUCGGAAAGGUCAACUGAUACUGUGCGGCUAGAGUGCGGAAGGGGCAACUGGAAUUCUUGGUGUAGCGGCGAAAUGCGUAGAUAUCAAGAGGAACACCUGCGGCGAAGGCGGGUUGCUGGACCGACACUGACGCUGAUGCGCGAAAGCUAGGGGAGCGAACGGG
rnacentral:rRNA from 1 species